rnacentral:lncRNA from 1 species
GAAGGACCAGCCUGGAAGCAAGACCAAGAAUUGAGGGAGGAGAAAGAACAUGAACUUCCUGGAACUCUCUCUGUAGACCAGGCUGGCCUUGAACUCACAAGAUCUACCUGCCUCUGGCUCCGUCUCUGCUGGGGUUCAAGGCUUACACCAUCUUGCCUAGCCUAAAAGGUUUAAUUCUUAGAAGUAAGGCAGAACGGUGGAGUGAGACGUUGGAGAGAUGCCAGUGACUUAGAAUUCGCCCAGGGAUCUAGUCCAGGGCAUGGUGACAGCAAUGGUGCUUAGAAUCAUGAAGUACAGUCUUCUCACACGGAGAAGCAGCCACAGGAAGUACCUGAACACCUUCUGAGGACAUGUCCCUGACUGAGGAUGUGUCUGUCACUAAGCCUCGAGUCUUCAAAAUUCCAUCACUGUCCUGUAUGGCUACCCACAGGGCCAAGUCCCAAAAGAUGAGGUUUUGAAAGAACAAAAGCAACUCAAAUCACAGCAGAGGCCACACAUGGUAUAGCAACAUUCAAACAAACAAAAUUCUACUUCUUUUCUGUUUCUACUACCCAGUCUGUAUGUGGCAGCUUUCGGCAAACAGUCAACAACUUA